CGAAGCUUCAUUGUGAGAGUUUCGUCGAGGAUGGGGCGAAGCUCCCAUGGGCGUUUUUCAGGGUCACAAAUUGCUUCCACACAAACCAAGCUAUCCGACUCCACGAUGAUCCGAUCCGUCUCAAGACCUCGCUGGAGAAGAAAUUUCAACGCAGAGUUUAAGGCGAUCGCCUCGGCUUGCAGGGCUGAGGAGGCACGAAUCGAGGAGGCAAAUCCAUCAAUCAAAUGGCCCGUCGAGUCCCGACACACUCCAGCUACCGAAGCUUCGUCAAUCGGUGAAAGGGCAUGGCUGCAAGGAAGAGCACGGCUUCGAGGAGAUAAAAAUAUGUCUGGAAUGAGUCUCCAUGAUCGCCAUCAACACAACUCGUUCAGCAUUCAACUGCUUAUGACGAAAUAGAGCAUCAUUGCGGGCUUUCCAAAUCUGCCAGAGAACAAUCGCAACUGCACCCAAGUCCGAAUAUCCCAAUGGGCGCGAUAAAACUGACCAUUCAAGCCGUCUGGACCGGGAGCUUUCGUUUCACCUAACUGGAAUACUGCAUCAUGGACCUCCUCACAGGUCUGAAAUCUCAUCAGAAGUUGGGUGAAAAUGAGGCCGAUUAGUAAGAGAUUGAAGCUGGUUCUUAAGAUGAGAAAUCUGGGUUUGAGCAUUCCCAAAUUUGGAGCGACUCCAUUGAGAUAAAGCAAUAGAAACAGAAAGUAGCUUUUGAGGAAGCGUCACUUUGCCAAGCUAAGAAGAAUUCCAAGAUUCAGCAAUUAUGGAGCGACAGUCAGUAUCUUGGAGCCAAAAAGCUUCAAAGUAGAAAGACUUUCGCCGUUUGCAGCUGGAAAGUGUUUCAGUGGAUAAGAGCAGAGGACUGUGGUCAGAGCCGAGGGCAGGAAGGGCA